GGCCGUUUGGCUCAAUGGUAGAGCGUCCGCCUCCUACUUCAAUGGUUAGCGGGUAAGUUACUGUCACCAUCUCUAUACGAUUGUAUCACGUUCUGACAACUCGGAAAGAAGGCUGUGGGUUCGAGUCCCAUGAUGGUCG